UGCAUCGGCCGGGAAUCGAACCCGGCGUGGCAGGCGAGCACUCUACCACUGAACCACCGAUGG
rnacentral:tRNA from 1 species